rnacentral:rRNA from 1 species
UACACGCUGUGACUAGCAUAUCAAUAAGCGGAGGAAAAGAAACUAACAAGGAUUCCCCUAGUAACGGCGAGUGAAGCGGGAAGAGCUCAAAUUUGAAAUCUUAAAGGGUUUCCCUUUACGAAUUGUAGUUUAAAGAAGUGUUUUCUGUUGAGGUUUUGGUAAAAGUUCUUUGGAAUAGGACAUCAUAGAGGGUGAGAAUCCCGUAUUUGACCUUUACUUUCAACUUUGUGAUACACUUUCAAAGAGUCGGAUUGUUUGGGAAUGCAGUCCAAAAUGGGUGGUAAAUUUCAUCUAAAGCUAAAUAUUGGCGAGAGACCGAUAGCGAACAAGUACCGUGAGGGAAAGAUGAAAAGAACUUUGAAAAGAGAGUUAAACAGUACGUGAAAUUGUCAAAGGGAAGCGUUUGACACCAGUGUUGUUUAUCUGAAAAUCAAUUAAAGAACUGUUUAUGCUAAGUUGUUUAGACUUUAUCAGCUAACUGUUUAGUUUUGAGCUUUUCUUUAAUGCACUCUUCAGUUAACAAGUCAACAUCAAUUUCUUUUGCUGUAAAAAAGCUUGAGGAAGGUGGCUUGAGAUUCGUCUUAAGUGUUUAUAGCCUCUUGCCUAUGCAGUCGGAGAGAUUGAGGUCUGCAGCGUAGAUCCUUCGGGGCUAAAUGCAUUUGUGCUAAGUUAUAGCAUUUUAUAGGACAACUUGUUGACUAUGAUUUGUCUUGUAGCUUACUCGCUUAUGUUAUUUUACCUACGCUUAGGAUGUUGAGUCGUAGAGCACGCAG